UCACAUUCUUUUUUGAUCACCAAGAACUAUUCUUUCGCCUUUUACUAAAGAAUACCGUGUACACACUGCAAUUAAUGACAUACACCUAUUUUUGGAGGAGUUACUCUUUAUUGAGUACU
rnacentral:snRNA from 2 species